AAUUGGUGUCCCAUUGUGUCUUUUUGAUGAACAACCUUCAAAAACCAGGUGAGGUUGCAUUACAUUCUGUUACUCUCCAGUUGUUUCAUUAGGGGUGUUUCUGAGGCUCUUUUGCUUAAUUCCCAGAAGCUUUUCACUUGCCAGGCAUCCUAGUGGCAUUCUGAAUUAUCCCAAAGACACUCUGAAUGGAGCACUUACCUGAAGCCAAUUACAGGAUGAAUUUGCUUAGGAUCUUGUGCCUCGGACUCAGUGACCUGGACAUUUUUGGUGAGAAGGACAUGCCUAACUCCCAUUAGCUGUAAAAUGUGUACUCUCAAAUACCUCAUUGAGCUGCCUGGAGACAACUGGAAUCUAAAAGCACCCAAGGACUUGUUUGGGUACAGCUGCUGCAGGCUGGACACCUCAGUGCAUGCAAGGUAGUGCUGCAGAACAGGGCUCAGAGCAGCCUCUGGACUAAGCCAAUAAGCAGUGCAAUAGGAAGAACAAAAACAAGAAAAAAAAACAACACAGACCCAAAACCAAGCAACAACAGCAACAAAAAAGGCACAAUUUGUUGCCUUAUUUCAAUUGUGCUUCUUUUGUCAGAAGCAGUCCAUGUUGCCUUCUCUCUCUGCAAAACAAGAUCAUGGUAGGACCUACACUGUCACAAGUAUCAAUCAAAAAGUUGCAAAAUACAAAUACUAGAUGCCUUGGAGAGAUUGCCCACAUAGUAUGUACAUUACUUUUAUGUCAUGCUUUAUUUUUUCCUGGAAAAAAAGGGAGGACUCAAGCCAUUGUUUACAAAUUGGCAGUCAGAUCACUCAUUUGUGUGGUGCUGUUCAAUCCAAAAGUUCCCCUACAAGUGGGCCUGGCCCAAUGUUCUUGAACAAAUUUAUUAAUGAUGCCUGACAGGCUGUCUAUGUCUAGGGAUGUUCAGUUAUUAGUCAGAAAAUUAAACUUACAGCUGUAUCACCCCUGUGAAAAGAAUACAGAAAAGUACAUCUAAAAGGAGCCAUAAAGAACGCAAAAAUCAAUAUUGCAGGGGUAAUGGCAUGUUUGCUAAUAAUACUCUGUUGCUGAGAAAAUUUGGAUUUUUUUUUUUUUUAAAAAAAACUAAUUUCUUGUUGUUUGUUUAAGAGUUUAACUAAGCCCAGUUGAGUUGCCUUUGGUUUGGGAUGAUAGGACUGAAACCCAUCAAGAAAAGUAUAUGGGAGUUUUUAUGUUAUUACUCAAUUUGUUGCCCCCUUUAUUACAUAGAAAUGUUGUAACUCCAUGAGUCCCACCUUCCUCCCAGUGAAGGCAAGAGUAAUUUUGCCCUGGAAUAGCUCCCAGCCUAGUGAAGACUCCAGCCAGAGCUGCAUCGGCUCCUUCCACUCCCAGUGCUCAAGUGCCACUGGCUUUGGUGGGAGGAUUUCAGUGACCCUAAGGAGCCAUGCCCCGGUUCCUAACAGGCUGAAAAACUGACAAUAUAGUUGAUACAGAGGAGGUUAUUGUCGGCAUGUUUGCCAUCUGAGGGUAGAUGCUGACAGUACCUUAUCCCACUGAAAUCUCUUGGAGGUACAGUGGGUUUCUAAAGCAGUGGGCAAAGCAGGGUUGGUUCUGGUUAAACAGAAGAGGCCAAUGUGUAGGGCUUUUACUGCCUCAAUUUCCCAAGGAAUUUCUAAUGAGUCAGAGUUAACUCUAGUGUUUAAAAGUAAAAUAUGGUUAUGGCUCUCAAAUGCAAGCUACAUUUAACAACCAUAUAUUGAUUUUUUUUUUUCCUGUGUAAUUUUAUUUCUGUGAACAUUUCUGUUUUCUUAAUUAGUAGCCUUUUAAAGAGAGAUUUAACAUCUUCAUUAUCAGAGGGUAACUUGUGAAACAGCUGUAUGGAGAGAAAGGGAGGCACAGAGAGGGUGGGGAAAAUAAAGCAUUGGUGAAAGACUUUCUAUCUGUUUCUAUCUGCACUUCAAGGGGAUGUGUGUGUGCACAUGCACGUGCCUGCACAAGCACACAGACAAGCUGACCCUGACGUUACAAUUAAGACAAAAUAGCAGUGGCAAAGCUGGUGACAAAACUCAGCAAUUUCCAAUUGCACAGUCACUCUGUAACGGGAAGAACUGUUUACCCCAUGUUCCUUAUUAAACUGAAGUAUUUUAUUUAAUGAGCAUGACUCAUGCAAGGUGUUCCCAUAAAUCAUCAGCUGGUUUACAAACUCAAUAACUAGGCUUCCUGCUAUAACUAGGCUGUGCACACCUUAAAUUAUUAACACGCCAGGGCCUUAAGGCAGAUCUUUGAUGAUGAUGAUAUAAACACUGUGAGGACAAGGUGCUCUCUCAGCAAAAGAUUAUUGACUCUAAUUACCAUUUACCACAGGAAAAAGAAAAGAAAAGACAAUAAAAUAUGAGGGAGAAUUUAAAUCUCAGAUUUAAUUUUAUGAGGAGUUUUAAACUCCCAAACUUUUUGUUGUUGUUUUUGCUGCUGCUGCUGCUGUCGGCUGCUGCUGUUGCAUGAUACUCUAUAGUUGGCUGAUCUUGAAAGCAUGACAGUUGUUAAGCAGCAAAGAAACAAAAAAAUAAAACACGAGAGAAUGUUCAGUUGAUGCUAUUGUACAUUCUUUGAAAUGGAUGGAAAAAGGCCAGAGGGAACAGAAAAUGAUAAUACAUUGGAAAGAAUCCCAGCCUUAAUUGUUUUCAUGUAUGUAAUGUAAUAAAAAGGUUAAAGCACUAA